AUUGAACGCUGGCGGCAUGCCUUACACAUGCAAGUCGAACGGCAGCGCGGGGCAACCUGGCGGCGAGUGGCGAACGGGUGAGUAAUACAUCGGAACGUACCCAGAAGUGGGGGAUAACGUAGCGAAAGUUACGCUAAUACCGCAUACGUUCUACGGAAGAAAGUGGGGGACCUUCGGGCCUCAUGCUUUUGGAGCGGCCGAUGUCUGAUUAGCUAGUUGGUGAGGUAAAGGCUCACCAAGGCGACGAUCAGUAGCUGGUCUGAGAGGACGACCAGCCACACUGGGACUGAGACACGGCCCAGACUCCUACGGGAGGCAGCAGUGGGGAAUUUUGGACAAUGGGCGCAAGCCUGAUCCAGCAAUGCCGCGUGAGUGAAGAAGGCCUUCGGGUUGUAAAGCUCUUUUGUCAGGGAAGAAACGGCUGAGGAUAAUACCUUCGGCUAAUGACGGUACCUGAAGAAUAAGCACCGGCUAACUACGUGCCAGCCGCCGCAGUAA
rnacentral:rRNA from 1 species